rnacentral:rRNA from 1 species
UACGGAGUGUGCAAGCGUUACUCGGAAUCACUGGGCAUAAAGCGCGCGUAGGCGGGCUUUCAAGUCGGUUGUGAAAUCCCUCAGCUCAACUGAGGAACUGCAUCCGAUACUGUUUGUCUUGAGGACGAGAGGGGAGAGUGGAACUUCUGGUGGAGCGGUGAAAUGCGUAGAUAUCUGGAGGAAUACCGGUGGCGAAGGCGGCAUCCUGGACCGACAUUGACGCUGAUGAGCGAAAGCUAGGGGAGCAAACGGG